GACUCUUAGCAAUGAAUAUUUAUUUCUCGCGUUAUGAAAUAAAGGAUGCAUAAAAAUGCAAAACUUGGUGUGAAUUACCUAAUCAUGUUAAUCAUUGAGUUUUUGAAUGAAAUUUUUUCUUGAGGCCUCAACUAAGGGAACAUAUAUCUGGGAAUAA
rfam:Picea glauca, whole genome shotgun sequence.